GUUGGUGUUGAUGACGCUGAGGGUUCACCUGUUCCCAUACCGAACACAGAAGUUAAGCUCAGUGGUGCCGAAAAUACUUGGCUGGUGACGGCCCGGGAAGAUAGGGAGAUGCCAACA
rnacentral:rRNA from 1 species